rnacentral:rRNA from 1 species
GGCGAACGGGUGAGUAACACGUGGGUGACCUGCCCUUCACUCUGGGAUAAGCCUGGGAAACUGGGUCUAAUACCGGAUAUUCACUUCUUGUUGCAUGACAGGUGGUGGAAAGUUUUUUCGGUGGGGGAUGGGCCCGCGGCUAUCAGCUUGUUGGUGGGGUGAUGGCCUACCAAGGCGACGACGGGUAGCCGGCCUGAGAGGGCGACCGGCCACACUGGGACUGAGACACGGCCCAGACUCCUACGGGAGGCAGCAGUGGGGAAUAUUGCGCAAUGGGCGGAAGCCUGACGCAGCGACGCCGCGUGGGGGAUGACGGCCUUCGGGUUGUAAACCUCUUUCGACUUCGACGAAGCCUUCGGGUGACGGUAGGGGUGGAAGAAGCACCGGCCAACUACGUGCCAGCCGCCGCGG